CGGAGAGGGCGCCUGAGAAACGGCGCGCAAAUUGCCCAAUACUAGCAUGAGCGAGGCAGCGACGAGAAGUAUUUACCUUGUGCUACAUUGUAUCGCGAGGAUAGAAAUGGGUGAUAUCCAAAACCAUCACUGAGGAUCGAUUGGAGGGCAAGUCUGGCGCCAGCAGCCGCGGUAAUUCCAGCUCCAAUAGCGUAUACUAAUGCUGUUGCUGUUAAAAAGCUCGUAGUUCGAUAAGGAUUGAUUCUGGUUCAGAUUCAGUGCUUCGCAGCUUUGCUGCAAGUAUUCGAUGAGAUCCGCUUGGAAUUGGUUCUGCAAUGAGUGACUCGUACGGUGGAAGAGCUCUUCAUUGAGCGUGGAAACGCUUUCGCAGCCAACAUCUGCACAAGUACAGUCGUUCGUGAUACCGUGAACAAAACAGCGUGCUCAAAGCAAGUGAUUCUGCUCGAAUGUUCAAGCAUGGAAUAUCAAGGAAUCGACCGUGAGUCUAAUCUUUGCUGGUUUCUGUAUGCGACUUGGAGAAUUGGACCUGAGAAUAUCGUGCCAUAGUCAGUUCCUCCGGGUUCUGCUGUGGUACUAAGCUCUAGUUUACCGGUAUUAACAGGGAUGAACGGAGCAGUGUGUAUUGGCUCGCGAGAGGUGAAAUUCUCAGACCGUGCCAAGACAAACGUAAGCGAAGGCAUUCUGCAAGUAUAUCUUCACUAAUCAAGAACGAGAGUGCAGGGAUCGAAGAUGAUCAGAUACCGCCGUAGUCUGCUACUGUAAACGAUGCGAACUCGGGAUCAGCCGUCGCCAAUCUUUUCGAUCACCGGGCUGGAACCUACGUACUUCUCCCAGCGCGAAAGCUUUUAAGUUUUAUGCGUUCAGGGGGGAGUACAGUUGCAAGGCUGAAACUUAAAGGAAUUGACGGAAUGUCACCACAAGCGUGGAUGCUGCGGCUUAAUUUGACUCAACACGGGGAAUCUCACCAGGUCAGGACGCAUGUUGGAUGACAGAUUGAAAGCUCUUUCUUGAUUAUGUGUAUGGUGGUGCAUGGCCGCUCCUGGUUGGUGGAGUGAUUUGUCUGGUUGAUUCCGUUAACGAACGAGAUAUUGGCCCUUCAAUGACAGUUUGAUCGUAUCUGUAAUCCAGUUGACGCGCUUGCGUGCUCGCACUGGAUGAGAUCUUGUCUUGUACUCAAGGGGACGAUGCAUGUUGACAAUGCAUGGAAGUGCGAACCAAUAGCAGGUCUGUGAUGUUCCUAGAUGUCCUUGGCUGCACGCGGCAUACAAUGGUGAAGAAAACGAGUUUGGUUUGUUUGAGCUCCUUGUGCGAAAUCAUUGGGGAAUCUGUGGAAACUUCAUCGUAUUGGGGAUCGUUGCUUGCAAUUAUUUGCCUUGAACCAGGAAUGCCUUGGAGACACAACUCAGCAAAUUGUAUCGAAUACGUCCCUGCCGUUUGUACACACCGCCCGUCGUUGCAAUCGAUCGGUUCAAUGCUAGAGGUCUUCCAGAGGUGAGUCCGAUCCUGUAUUGUCUUUGCCAAAGUUGAUCAAUAGCAUUGAACUAAAGAAUGCUAAAGUCGUAACAAGGUAGCCGUA
rnacentral:rRNA from 1 species